CCUACGGGUGGCAGCAGUGGGGAAUAUUGGGCAAUGGGCGCAAGCCUGACCCAGCAACGCCGCGUGAAGGAAGAAGGCUUUCGGGUUGUAAACUUCUUUUGGCAGGGAAGAGGAGAAGACGGUACCUGACGAAUAAGCCACGGCUAACUACGUGCCAGCAGCCGCGGUAAUACGUAGGUGGCAAGCGUUGUCCGGAUUUACUGGGGGUAAAGGGCGUGUAGCCGGGUUGACAAGUCAGAUGUGAAAUCCUGCGGCUUAACCGCAGAACUGCAUUUGAAACUGUUGAUCUUGAGUACUGGAGCGGCAGACGGAAUUCCUCGUGUAGCGGUGACAUGCGUAGAUAUUAGGAGGAACACCAGUGGCGACGGCGGUCUGCUGGACAGCAACUGACGGUGAGGCGCGAAAGCGUGGGGAGCAAACAGGAUUAGAUACCCGAGUAGUC
rnacentral:rRNA from 1 species